rnacentral:lncRNA from 1 species
GGGACAAUGUAAUGCUAUUAUUAUAAAAUGAUGAUAGUAAGAAAGAAAACCUCACAUAGAUAUUAUUAAAACAUAAUGCAAAAUAAGAAGCUGAUUAAGAAAAAAAGAGAAACAACAUAAUAGGAUACGUAAACACAAGUAAACGUAAACAUAGCAGCAUGAACACUGGAUUGGAUUUUUCUUCUUUCAAACUAAAGCCCAAAAAAAACCAAACUCUCCCAGCAAACCAAACUCUCCCGUAAGAAAAAAGUGAAGCUCCUCCCUCUUCGACAC